AGCGAACGCUGGCGGCAGGCCUAACACAUGCAAGUCGAACGGAUCCUUCGGGAUUAGUGGCGGACGGGUGAGUAACACGUGGGAACGUGCCCUUUGGUUCGGAACAACUCAGGGAAACUUGAGCUAAUACCGGAUGUGCCCUUCGGGGGAAAGAUUUAUCGCCAUUGGAGCGGCCCGCGUCUGAUUAGCUAGUUGGUGAGGUAACGGCCCACCAAGGCGACGAUCAGUAGCUGGUCUGAGAGGAUGAUCAGCCACACUGGGACUGAGACACGGCCCAGACUCCUACGGGAGGCAGCAGUGGGGAAUCUUGCGCAAUGGGCGAAAGCCUGACGCAGCCAUGCCGCAUGAAUGAUGAAGGUCUUAGGAUUGUAAAAUUCUUUCAGCGGGGACGAUAAUGACGGUACCCGCAGAAGAAGCUCCGGCUAACUUCGUG
rnacentral:rRNA from 1 species